GGAUUAGAUACCCUGGUAGUCCACGCCGUAAACGAUGUCUACUAGUCGUCGGGGAUCUUGCAUUUCUGGUGACGCAGCUAACGCGAUAAGUAGACCGCCUGGGGAGUACGGCCGCAAGGUUAAAACUCAAAUGAAUUGACGGGGGCCCGCACAAGCGGUGGAGCAUGUGGUUUAAUUCGAAGCAACGCGAAGAACCUUACCAGGGCUUGACAUACAGUGCAAAACUAUAGAGAUAUAGCAGAGGUUAACAUUGAUACAGGUGGUGCAUGGUUGUCGUCAGCUCGUGCCG
rnacentral:rRNA from 1 species